rnacentral:lncRNA from 1 species
AAAGCAAAGCACAGAUCCUCAGCUCUGAAACUGCAGUUCAGACCUGAAGUCCCUGAAAUUCAUAGACUGUAUCACUUCUGCUCUCAGUGGACUAGAAUUGAAAAUACAGAUUCCUGUGUAAUUAAGAAUGGAAGAAUUUGAAUUGAAUCCACCCAACUGUGUCACUCUACAUAAAGAGAAGAUGAAUGGGGAAAAAAUAAGAACCAAGAUGCAUUAUAUAAAGGGAAGAACAUCUGCAUUCACUGGGAUCUUGAUCUGCAAGUAACAGAAAACCCAACUAACAGUAUUUUAUGACCAGUAGAGAUUUGUUAUCCAUAUAUCACAGUAAAUCUGAGGAUUAAUAGUACCUACCAUUAUUUUCCCCUUUCAACAAAAUCAUUAUGCUUGCCUACUUCCGCCUGGUGGCUUGGGGCUCUAUACUCACAUGGUACUUUCUAAAGUUCAAAUACUGCAUCUAUGUUUUAAGAAUGAAAAGGCAAAAGGACCAGAGGAAAAGGAGUGUACAAAAAUGAAUGUGUUACAUUUAGAGAUUUAAAAGCAUUCCAGAAAGCAUCACCACCUGACUACCAUUCAUAAUUCGCUGGACAGAAAAAGGCUUAGUGGUACAUGUACCAACUCUUCACAAGGAAUGUAAAUAUUAUGCAUAACAAACAUGUAAUAAAUAGAUAAAUAAAUAAAUAAAUAAAUGGAAAAAAGGCUUAGUCAUAAAACCCUGACUGGAUGGAAUGAAACCAGAAAGAAGAACAUUGUAUUGACCAAAAAAGUAUUGCAAAUGCCUUUGUUAAGCUAAUUAGUUAUGACCUGAGACAUUCCUUGAACUAU